rnacentral:rRNA from 1 species
GACGAACGCUGGCGGCGUGCUUAACACAUGCAAGUCGAACGCGCCUGUCCUCUGGGUUUCUGGGGGGUGGGUGAGUGGCGAAGGGGUGAGUAACAAGUGAGUAACCUGCACCCGUCUUCGUGAUAACGGUCUGAAAGGGCUGCUAAUACCGGGUAUUCACUGGUCUCCGCAUGGGGUCUGGUGGAAAGGUUUUUUUCGGGUGGGGGAUGGGGUCGCGGCCUAUCAGAUUGUUGGUGGGGUGAUGGCCGACCAAGGCUUUGACGGGUAGCCGGCCUGAGAGGGGUACCGGUCACAUUGGGACUGAGAUACGGCCCAGACUCCUACGGGAGGCAGCAAUGGGGAAUAUUGCACAAUGGGCGCAAGCCUGAUGCAGCGACGCCGCGUGAGGGAUGGAGGCCUUCGGGUUGUGAACCUCUUUCGCCCGUGGUCAAGCCGCGACGUGGGUCGUGGUGAGGGUAGUGGGUAAAUAAGCGCCGGCUAACUACGUG